rnacentral:rRNA from 1 species
CCCUUAGACGUUCUGGGCCGCACGCGCGCUACACUGACCAGUGCAACAAGCAUCCGUCCUUGGCCGACAGGCCCGGGCAAUCUUUGAACGCUGGUCGUGAUGGGGAUAGACUUUUGCAAUUUUUGGUCUUCAACGAGGAAUUCCUAGUAAACGCAAGUCAUCAACUUGCAUUGAUUACGUCCCUGCCCUUUGUACACACCGCCCGUCGCUCCUACCGAUUGAAUGAUCCGAUGAAUAUCAUGGAUUGAGGAUGCAAGUAGGUUAGCCUAUCUUCAUCUUCGAGAAGUGAAGUAAAUCUUAUCAUUUAGAGGAAGGAGAAGUCGUAACA